UGGUAGGAAAAUCCGCCAUGCAAUGGGAAGACGUGAUGUGGAGCGAAAUAUAGUAGUGAAGCCCAUGAGCCAUGCGUCAAGAAAAGCCGCUAUUGUUUAUAUUGUACCCGUACCGUAAACCGACACAGGUGGAUGAGGAGAGAAUCCUAAGGCCGGCGGAAGAAGCUGCCAAGGAACUCGGCAAAAUGGCCCCGUAACUUAGGGAGAAGGGGUGCCUGCGAGAGCAGGCCGCAGAGAAUAGGCUCAAGCAGCUGUUUAGCAAAAACACAGGUCUAUGCGAAACCGAAAGGUGAGGUAUAUGGGCUGACGCCUGCCCGGUGCUGGAAGGUUAAGAGGAGAGGUCAGACGCAAGUCGAAGCUUUGAAUUUAAGCCCCAGUAAACGGCGGCCGUAACUAUAACGGUCCUAAGGUAGCGAAAUUCAUUGUCGGGUAAGUUCCGACCCGCACGAAAGGCGUAAUGAUUUGAGCGCUGUCUCGGCAAUACAUCCGGUGAAAUUGAAGUGCCAGUGAAGAUGCUGGCUACCCGCGCCAGGACGGAAAGACCCCAUGGAGCUUUACUCCAGUUUGGCACUGGGGUCCGGUGUUGCAUGUACAGGAUAGGUGGGAGGCUGAGAAACGGUAACGUCAGUUGCCGCGGAGCCGCUGUUGGGAUACCACCCUUGUGAUAUUGGGCUUCUAACCAGCCGCCGUGAUCCGGCGGUGGGACAAUGCCAGGCGGGGAGUUUGACUGGGGCGGUCGCCUCCGAAAGGGUAUCGGAGGCGCCCAAAGGUUCCCUCAGAAUGGACGGAAACCAUUCGAAGAGUGCAAAGGCAGAAGGGAGCUUGACUGCGACACCGACGGGUGGAGCAGGUACGAAAGUAGGGCUUAGUGAUCCGGUGGUAUUAAGUGGGGAUGCCAUCGCUCAACGGAUAAAAGCUACCCUGGGAUAACAGGCUUAUCACUCCCAAGAGUUCACAUCGACGGAGUGGUUUGGCACCUCGAUGUCGGCUCAUCGCAUCCUGGGGCUGUAGUAGGUCCCAAGGGUUGGGCUGUUCGCCCAUUAAAGCGGUACGCGAGCUGGGUUCAGAACGUCGUGAGACAGUUCGGUCCCUAUCCGGCGUGGGCGCAGGAUAUCUGAGAGGAGCUGUCCUUAGUACGAGAGGACCGGGAUGGACGGACCGCUGGUGGACCGGUUGGCUUGCCAAAGCCAUGGCCGGGUAGCCAAGUCCGGAAGGGAUAAACGCUGAAGGCAUCUAAGCGUGAAGCCCCCCCUCAAGAUGAGAUAUCCCAUUCUUAUGAAGUAAACCCCCUUGAAGACGACGAGGUAGAUAGGGCAGAGGUGGAAGUGCAGUAAUGCGUGGAGCUGACUGUUACUAAUCGGGUGAGGGCUUGAUC
rnacentral:rRNA from 1 species